rnacentral:tRNA from 1 species
GUUAAUGUAGCUUAAAACAAAAGCAAGGUACUGAAAAUACCUAGACGA